GUGCAGAUGAUGGAAACUUUUUCCGACUGAGCUAUGUGAUGUUUUCAAAGGAACCACUGAUGCAC